ensembl:snoRNA SNORD22 Small nucleolar RNA SNORD22
AUCAAUUGAUACGAGUUCGAGACGGGCCUGAGAUACCCCCACAUUCUGUAAAGGUGAACCCACUGGGGCUGGCCAGGGAAGAAGAGGAAAUUUUGUUCCAGAAGGAACUGUCUGGAGGAUC